rnacentral:lncRNA from 1 species
AUGCUGCUGCUGCCCGUCCUGCUGGCAGCUUCUUGUUGGUCCCGUGGAGACGCGCAGGCACUGCCAGAGCAAAGCCCAGCAACGCGGACUCAGGCAGAGGGCCGCUCGGCCAGCAUGGCAUGCCGGCUGACAAAAGAAGACACCGUGCACUGGUACAAGCAGCUUCCUGGGCACCCGAUCAAGAGAAUACUGUACGUGUCGGGACAGACACCUGCGUUUGAUGACAGCUCUGACAGACAAAAGUAUCAAGUGAGGAAGCGUGCCUCUGAACCUCUCUAUACUCUCCAAAUAAAUAAUGUAAACCAGAGGGACGCUGGCACAUACUACUGUGCGUACUGGUAUUCAUAUCAAGGCAUCACAGCGUUAGAUGGGCCAAGAUAAACCAUACAAAAAGGCACUUGGCACUCCGAAACGCAAGCUCUGAGCUCUGCCCAAACACAGAUACUUCCUCAUUCAGCCCUGCUCUGAUGAUUCUCUGCCACAGGGUAGGAAAAACAACAACGUAACAUGACAGCUGCUAAAUAGAGGAUAUUAGUAAUCAGGAUAUUAUUUCCAGACUCACACAUCUCUGUAACACGCAGAAGCUGCAGGUCCCCGUCAGUCAAGGGUACAAAUAGGGAACUUCGCUGUUUAGUUGCAGACUUGGGUGUACAGAAAGCACUCACCUGGCAGUGAACACAGCCUGUCUGUGCCUCAUGAACAAACAGCAGCAGCAGAUUUCUAUUCUUUAUUGAAUCCAUGGAGCAAGAACAGCAAUGUAUCUCUACAUAUUUGGUGCUCUCUCUUGAAACGAGGCAUGUGUCUGAAACAAGGAUAAAGUCUACUUGGUUUGGUAGACCUUCCUUCAACAUUUUUCUGCUGUCUUCCAUGCCAUUUCAGUCCCUACAACAUCUUACAACAGACCAGAAACUCCACUUUAUCAUCACAGUUUCUCCCCUGAGGUGUCCAGAAGAGAAGUGAAGUCCUCAGCCAUGGGCUAUGCCUCCAACAAACAGACAGAUGGCAAGGAGAUCAUCAGCAGUAGUCAGCAUGGGUUCACCGUGGAGAAAUCAUUCUUGACCAAUCCCAUACACUUCUACAAUGAAAUGGCCAGCCUGCUGGAUGAGGGGAGAGCAGUGCAGAUAGUCUGGGGACUUGAUUAAAGCCCAUGACACUGUCACCCCUAAGAGUCUUAGAGAAAGGCUGUUGGUGUGAGGGGCUGGAGUAGAAGACCGAAAGAUGGGCUGAGCAGCUGGGCCCCAAGGGUGAUGAUCAGUGGCACAAAGGCCUCCUGGAGGCCAUGAACUAGCAAUGUAACCCAGGAGUCAGUUCUGGGUCCGGUCCUUUCUAACAUCUUCCCUAAUGCUUUGGAUGACGGGACAGAGUGUUCCUGCAGCUUCAGUUCCUUCAGUUGUUUGUUGACAACACCAACCUAGGAGGAGUGGGGGAUACACCAGAGGGACACGCUGCCAUCCAGAGGCACCUCCUCAGGCCAGGGAAAUGGGAUGACGGCAACCUCACCAUGUCUGAGAGGGGGCCAGGCAUAGUCCUGUACCUGGGACUUGUUUCUCUGCCAGCCUUUCUUCCAAGAAGUGCUUGCACCUCAGCUUGGACUUCCAUAGGCCAUACUCCUUGGACUUACCAGUGUUUUUCAUGUUCAUCUGAAAAGCUGAUGGGAUGACUAUGUCCUCACCAAUGUGAGCAUUCCCAGGUCUAAGUCCUUUCCCAGGCUGCAGUAGGUUCUCUGCAAACGAAGCCCCACACUGUUGCUCCCAGAAGAGCCAUCACUGGAGAUGUCUUCUCCUCCCACUCAACCCUGUCCCCAUCUGGGGCCUCUUUCCCUCUCCUCUGAGUCUCAGCUGAGUGGGACCAGCAAACAUGCUGCUGAUGGCAGCACUUGUGGCCAUCGCCACUUAGUAUGGUAAGUACUUUCUACUUCAUCUUGCAUUCCUUCACAGGCAUCCAUGGCCACAGUAAUGAGUAUCUUCCCAAAUACCUGAUUCCUGAUUGCCAGUUAAUAAAAUGAUUUCUCCUCUUUUUUUUCUUUUUUUUUCUUUCUUUCAGUUUUUAUCCUCCUAGAUGGACUUGCACAGGAAAUUCCCAUACAAACCCCUAUAUCCAUUACGAAGUCUGAAAGAAGUACACGUCUGCAUUGUCAUUUUAAAGAUGUCUCUAGAAAUUUUGAUAGCACCACCAUACACUGGUACCAACACAAGGAGAAUAAUGCUCCAGAGUGGAUGUUCUACAUUUCACCUCGGGUAAAAGUAGAGGAUAAGAGCUUCCAAGGGCGAAUGUAUUCAGUUGAAAGGGCCUCUAAUCAGAAAAUUUAUACUCUUACAAUAAGCAAUAUAAUUCCAGAUGUUGCUGCUACCUACUAGUGUGCCACUGCAGCAGAAACCCAGUGAUCGCCUCGACCAAUACUCCCUCGGAGGCUCAACCACAAACGAUUUGAAAGAUCCCAGCUCACUUCCCCCAGCGUGGAUGAGCUGCCCGGCCUCAAAACGCAGGCUCUGCACAGCCGGGACUGGCUCGGCGCUGAGCCACUCCUUGGAGGGGGCAGCUGCCAAAAGCUGGGGAUUUCAACUGAGUGAGUGGCACGUGCAAAGGGAACAGUGAAGGGCAAAUGCCUAACUCAACCUCAGCACCUCCUCUUCCCCUGAUUUUACUCAAGUGAGGAAACUGGUUUACUCAAGCAGGGAACUGGUUGUAAGGAUGUCUUUACUGGACAGGGGAAAUCUUCCAUGCCGCUGUUCCUGGAAAUAACUCAGCAUGAUGUCCUGGAGCUUUUCAAAGCCCGUGGUUUGACACAGAAAACUGAAAGAAAAAUUUCCCUUGAAAGCUUGAGUGCUUUCAAAAUCCCACUGAGAUGAGGGGGAAGACUCCCUCUGACUUGGAGUGAGAAAGUCCCAUCGAUCCAGGGGCAUAAAUUGGGAGACUUACUUGAAAGGGUUGGGAAAAUUACGUGUUGAGUAAGCAACUGGUUUGUACUUCAAGAAAGGAAUGUGGCAGCAUCAGCAUCAGGAAACUGUCAUUAUAAAGCCUAUCCUUGAGACAUUCUUAAUGGGGAAGCAGUGGAGAUGGCGUCAAGCCGGGCAGAGGGUUGCUCAUCAGCACGUGUUCAGAUCUUGAUAUUGAAUGUGUAAUCAUGAGAUUUGGGCUUGCCUGAUAAAUGCCAGAUGAUAGAAAAAUUCGUAGGCCCAUGUGCAGCAUCAGAUUUGGGAAUCAUACACUGCUUGAUGAGAAAAUUAGAUACUAAAUAAGCACAAGACAUAGAAAGAUGUUUAUAAAUAUAAAGAGGAAACUAAAAAUAGGAAUGUGAGUGUAUUGCUACCGAUGUCCAGAAGAUGUCAUGACUAGAAAGCAUUUCUGUUUAAGCUAGUGAGCUAGACACAUAUCCCAGGUGCUCAGUUCUAGUGUGGCACCCGGACCAUGGGAGGUGGCUAAGUACAAAGACAGCUGCCCCUGAUGGGUAGAGAGAAAGGCCACUUUCUCAGGGAUGUGGGAAAUGGCAGGGGUAGGGCCAGGGACCAGAAGGCUUAUUUGAGGGCUGAGCAUGCUUUUGCUGCAUAUUUCUGACUUUUAAAUUACUGCAGCUUUCAGUAACAGUUUGAAAGCAUUGCCACAUCAUUUGCAGCAUGGGGAAACUACUCUUCCUACCCCCACCACCACAGGAAGAGGGAUUUCAGGUGGAAGCUCUCUUAUCUCGUCUCUCCCUCCAACAAGC